rnacentral:tRNA from 4 species
GGUACGGUAGCCAAGUGGUAAGGCGGGGGUCUGCAAAACCCCUAUGCGUGGGUUCAAUUCCCACCCGUACCUCCA